UCCGAGGUGGCGGCCAUCGCCUCGGACAGUCUCUGAGUCUCCUCCUGGAGGCUUCUGAUGGCUGCGUCUUUUUCCUCCGUGGCUCGCCUUAAGGCUUCCACCUCUGCUGGCGGCCCUUUCGAAGACUCGCCCGGCGCCUCGGACUUAAUUGCCUCCUGAGAGCCGGCCGCCUCGCAAGUCCGCGACGAUGCGGCGGGCGGCUGUGGUGACGUGAGGGCGGGUGGACCCAAGAGAACCUCCUUGGCAUUGCAGAGCUGCUCUAGGCCGAGCUGCAUCUGUGCCAGUCUCUUCCCCAAGAGCCGGAGUUGGGUCGCAUCCCCUCGAGGACGCGGGAACGGGGCGGCAGAGUGCAUCUGUCGCCGACACUUCUCCUCGCUGUCCACUGAGGCCCGUGCCUCGAGUGGUGGGAGUUCUUUCUGAAGUUGGGAUGACUCCCGCUGCAGAUGGUGCACCUCGGUGAGCACCAGCCGCUGCCACUCCUCCAGCACGUCGACCCGCUGCUUCAACGUGCCCCGUUCCCGGAGAAGCUCCUCCAACUGAUUCGCGUCCACGCCCCGAACCUCAUGGCCAGCGUCGGACGUUUGCCAGAUGGUCAGUAAAGUCUGACAUUUCUGGCUCAAGGCACCGAUUUCAAUGUCUUUGGCUCGGACGAGGCGUGAUAAGGGCCGGAUCGCUUCUCGAAACAUGUCCUCACCGCCGCUGUCAGAUCGAGGGCGCCGUGUCUGACUUUCGCCUCGCAGCUUCGCGAGCUCUGCUUCUUUGGCCACCAGCAGGUCCAUCAUUGUGUGAUACGCCCUUUUCAGGUGGCUGUUUUCCCUCAGCUUCUCGUCGAAAACGGCCAACACUCGUUCCCUUUCCAAAGCAGAGGCUUGCAGUUGCUGCUGGAGGCCCCCCGCAUCCUGGACGGAGGCAGCCGAAGCUAGGCGAGCGGGAAGGCCCUGGCUCUGCCAGUCUUGCGGCUGGAUCGUCUGAGUUCGUGGCCCGGUCUCAUCGUCGUCCGGCUCAUCAAGCCGCUCGGUCAGAGGGAUCGUCUUUUCGGCCCCAAGUUUCAGCGCCUUCCUCUGCUUUUGCUCUUCAGAGGUCCUUGGAGGAUGCUGGGUUUCCUCCUCCGGGGAGGCGAGCCUCGUGUCUCCUUCCUCGAGGUUUCCCGCAGAGUUGCGGUGUCUCUCCGAGCUGGAGUUGCCGGUCUCUCCUUCUCGGGUGGUCCGGUCGCCCGAAUGGCUUCCGUCUCCGUUCUCCCCGAGUCGGGACGGGACGGCGACGAGAUUUGGGGAGUCUUUCGAGGAGCCGGUGAGAGACGAGGCGAUGACUGGAUGGCUGACGAGGAGUCGAGGUCUUUUGGCAGCAGCUUAGCCGUGAAAGGUAGAGAGAGAAGGCGGAUGGUGGAGGAGCGGAAAGGAGAGGUGUGGA
rnacentral:lncRNA from 1 species